UCCCCAUCUCUAGUAACCCGAGGGUGGACAGCAGUCAUGAGGAGGAAGGAGCAUCCCUGUGACACAGCUCCUCUGGGAAAGCUGUGAAGGUGCGGGUCACAUGUGACACCAUCAGCUGCAGCAUCUCAGGUGAGCGCUGCUCUCAGCCUGGGCCAGAGAAGCUUCUCCUUGCUGUGGGCAACAAUCAAUCCCAUGACUAAUAAGUCGUCAAAUGCUAAGAGUGUCCAGCUUCCCCCAGGAGAUCUACAUCACCCCGCUAAGGUCCAGGGAGCAACAGCAAAGAAGUGAGUGAAAGAGUGCAGUGUUUGGAGGUCACAGUCACCACGGUAAGAGGAAAGAGAGGAAUAGGAGAGCAUCACAGCACAGAAGGAAGAAAGGG